UCCUACGGGGGGCAGCAGUGAGGAAUAUUGGUCAAUGGGCGAGAGCCUGAACCAGCCAAGUCGCGUGAAGGAAGACGGCCCUAUGGGUUGUAAACUUCUUUUGUAGGGGGGUAAAGUGCGCCACGUGUGGUGUAUUGCAAGUACCCUACGAAUAAGGAUCGGCUAACUCCGUGCCAGCAGCCGCGGUAAUACGGAGGAUCCGAGCGUUAUCCGGAUUUAUUGGGUUUAAAGGGUGCGUAGGUGGUCUUAUAAGUCAGUGGUGAAAGUUUGCGGCUCAACCGUAAAAUUGCCAUUGAAACUGUAGGACUUGAGUACAAAUGAGGUAGGCGGAAUGUGUUGUGUAGCGGUGAAAUGCAUAGAUAUAACACAGAACACCAAUUGCGAAGGCAGCUUACUGGGAUGUAACUGACACUGAGGCACGAAAGCGUGGGGAUCAAACAGGAUUAGAUACCCCGGU
rnacentral:rRNA from 1 species